GUACGUGAAACCGUUCAGGGGUAAACCUGAGAAACCCGAAAGGUCGAACGGAGAGAUUCAUUCGCGGACCGGGCGCGCGCCGUGGCCGUCGGCACGACGGGAGGCUCUUCGGGGUCAACCGCGCCGACGCGUUACGAGCGCUCGUCGGACGCGUGCACUUCUCUCCUAGUAGGACGUCGCGAUCCGUUGGGUGCCGGUCGAAGGCCCGUCAGGGAGCCCGCGAGCACGACGCAAGUCGUCGUUCGCGGACCGACGGUCGCCUGGCCGGCCGCCCGACGGUACGAAAACGGCGGGGGGCCGCGAAUUUUCGCGUCCGGCCCGCGGCAAGCUCGCUUUACGCGCCCGGCGUUCGGAUCUGAUGCCGAUGCCGGCCUCUAGCGGUUGUUCGCCGCGGUGUUCUCGGACAGACCUCCUUAAACGCCGAUCGGCGACGCUACAGCUUUGGGUACUCUCAGGGCCCGUCUUGAAACACGGACCAAGGAGUCCAGCGCGUGCGCGAGUCAUUGGGUUCCAUUAAACCUAAAGGCGAAAUGAAAGUAAAGGUCUUCCGGGACCGAGGGAAGAUGGCCGAUUCUAGCGGAUCGGCUCGCAUUCCCGGGGCGUCUCGAUCUCGUUUCGAGAUGAGGCGCACCAAGAGCGUACGCGCUGGGACCCGAAAGAUGGUGAACUAUGCCCGGUCAGGACGAAGUCAGGGGAAACCCUGAUGGAGGUCCGUAGCGGUUCUGACGUGCAAAUCGAUCGUCUGAACUGGGUAUAGGGGCGAAAGACUAAUCGAACCAUCUAGUAGCUGGUUCCCUCCGAAGUUUCCCUCAGGAUAGCUGGCGCUCGAUACGAUUCUCAUCCGGUAAAGCGAAUGAUUAGAGGCAUUGGGGUCGAAACGACCUCAACCUAUUCUCAAACUUUAAAUGGGUGAGAACUCCGGCUUGCUCGAAUGUGAAGCCGCGAGAUCACGGAUCAGAGUGCCAAGUGGGCCAUUUUUGGUAAGCAGAACCGGCGCUGUGGGAUGAACCAAACGCCGAGUUAAAGCGCCUAAAUCGACGCUUAUCGGACACCAUGAAAGGCGUUGGUAACUUAAGACAGCAGGACGGUGGCCAUGGAAGUCGGAAUCCGCUAAGGAGUGUGUAACAACUCACCUGCCGAAGUUACUAGCCCUGAAAAUGGAUGGCGCUUAAGCGUCGUGCUUAUACUCGGCCGUCAGCGGCAUGUGCGGUCGCGCUUAGCGCGGCCAUGAAGCCCUGACGAGUAGGAGGGCGCGGCGGUGCGCGCAGAAGGGUUGGCCGCGAGGCCGCCUGGAGCCGCCGUCGGUGCAGAUCUUGGUGGUAGUAGCAAAUACUCCAGCGAGGCCCUGGAGAACUGAGGUGGAGAAGGGUUUCGUGUGAACAGUCGUUGCACACGAGUCAGUCGAUCCUAAGCCCUAGGCGAAAGCCGAGGUCGAUGCGGCGUUGUCAAUCUCAUACGCGGUGGAGCGACGGCGAGAGCUGUCGCUUCGGUACGAUGUUUAGAGAACACGCCCGUCCGGGCGAAAGGGAAUCCGGUUCCAAUUCCGGAACCCGGCAGCGGAACCGUCUUAAAAAUCGGGCCCUCAUUCGAGAGUUCGUCGGGGUAACCCGAAAGGACCCGGAGACGCCGUAGGGAUAUCCGGGAAGAGUUUUCUUUUCUGCAUGAGCGUUCGAGAUCCAUGGAAUCCUUUAGCAGGGAGAUAUGGAUUGGAACGCGAAGAGCACCGUACUUGCGGCGGUGUCCGGAUCAUCCCGUCGGCCCUUGAAAAUCCGGGAGAGGGCCACGUGUAGGUGUCGCGCCGGUUCGUACCCAUAUCCGCAGCAGGUCUCCAAGGU
rnacentral:rRNA from 1 species